rnacentral:rRNA from 1 species
AUUGAACGCUGGCGGCAUGCCUUACACAUGCAAGUCGAACGGUAACAGGUUAAGCUGACGAGUGGCGAACGGGUGAGUAAUGUAUCGGAACGUGCCCAGUCGUGGGGGAUAACUGCUCGAAAGAGCAGCUAAUACCGCAUACGACCUGAGGGUGAAAGCGGGGGAUCGCAAGACCUCGCGCGGUUGGAGCGGCCGAUAUCAGAGUAGGUAGUUGGUGAGGAAAAGGCCCACCAAGCCGACGAUCUGUAGCUGGUCUGAGAGGACGACCAGCCACACUGGGACUGAGACACGGCCCAGACUCCUACGGGAGGCAGCAGUGGGGAAUUUUGGACAAUGGGCGCAAGCCUGAUCCAGCCAUGCCGCGUGCGGGAAGAAGGCCUUCGGGUUGUAAACCGCUUUUGUCAGGGAAGAAAAGGUUCUGGCUAAUACCUGGGACUCAUGACGGUACCUGAAGAAUAAGCACCGGCUAACUACGUGCCAGCAGCCGCAGUAACAC